GAUGAACGCUGGCGGCGUGCCUAAUACAUGCAAGUCGAGCGAACAGACGAGGAGCUUACUCCUCUGACGUUAGCGGCGGACGGGUGAGUAACACGUGGAUAACCUACCUAUAAGACUGGGAUAACUUCGGGAAACCGGAGCUAAUACCGGAUAACAUGUUGAACCGCAUGGUUCAACAGUGAAAGACGGUCUUGCUGUCACUUAUAGAUGGAUCCGCGUCGCAUUAGCUAGUUGGUAAGGUAACGGCUUACCAAGGCAGCGAUGCGUAGCCGACCUGAGAGGGUGAUCGGCCACACUGGAACUGAGACACGGUCCAGACUCCUACGGGAGGCAGCAGUAGGGAAUCUUCCGCAAUGGGCGAAAGCCUGACGGAGCAACGCCGCGUGAGUGAAGAAGGUCUUCGGAUCGUAAAACUCUGUUAUUAGGGAAGAACAAAUGUGUAAGUAACUAUGCACGUCUUGACGGUACCUAAUCAGAAAGCCACGGCUAACUACGUG
rnacentral:rRNA from 1 species